rnacentral:rRNA from 1 species
GUGGGGAAUAUUGGACAAUGGGGGGAACCCUGAUCCAGCCAUGCCGCGUGUGUGAAGAAGGCCUUUUGGUUGUAAAGCACUUUAAGCGAGGAGGAGGCUACCGAGAUUAAUACUCUUGGAUAGUGGACGUUACUCGCAGAAUAAGCACCGGCUAACUCUGUGCCAGCAGCCGCGGUAAUACAGAGGGUGCAAGCGUUAUUCGGAUUUACUGGGCGUAAAGCGCGCGUAGGUGGCCAAUUAAGUCAAAUGUGAAAUCCACGAGCUUAACUUGGGAAUUGCAUUCGAUACUGGUUGGCUAGAGUAUGGGAGAGGAUGGUAGAAUUCCAGGUGUAGCGGUGAAAUGCGUAGAGAUCUGGAGGAAUACCGAUGGCGAAGGCAGCCAUCUGGCCUAAUACUGACACUGAGGUGCGAAAGCAUGGGGAGCAAACAGGAUUAGAUACCCUUGUAGUCC